rnacentral:tmRNA from 1 species
GGGGAUGUUUUUGGGAUUCGACAGGCGUAGAUUCGCAUUGACUGCGAUUCGUAGGUUACGUCUACGUAAAAACGUUACAGUUAAAUAUAACUGCAAAUAACAAAAAUUCUUACGCAUUAGCUGCUUAAUUUAGCGCAUGCGUUGCUCUUUGUCGGUUUACUCGUGGCUUACACUGAGUAUCAACUUUAGCGAGUUACGUUUAACUAUCUCACCUGAAUAGUUGAAAAGAGUCUUAACAGGUUAGCUAGCUCAUCCUAGCCCUGUUAUAUGGCGUUUUGAGCUAGUGAAGUUCAAGUAAUAUAACUAUGAUCGUAGAGGUCAGUGACGGAAUGCGUUUGGACAGGGGUUCAACUCCCCUCAUCUCCAUCG